GCCUUCGUAGUGUAGUGGUCAGCACGCUCGAUGCGUAACCGAGAGGUCCGUGGUUCGAUUCCCGGCGAAGGCG
rnacentral:tRNA from 1 species